rnacentral:rRNA from 1 species
GACGAACGCUGGCGGCGUGCUUAACACAUGCAAGUCGAACGGAAAGGCCCUGCUUUUGUGGGGUGCUCGAGUGGCGAACAGGUGAGUAACACGUGAGUAACCUGCCCUUGACUUUGGGAUAACUUCAGGAAACUGGGGCUAAUACCGGAUAGGAGCUCCUGCUGCAUGGUGGGGGUUGGAAAGUUUCGGCGGUUGGGGAUGGACUCGCGGCUUAUCAGCUUGUUGGUGGGGUAGUGGCUUACCAAGGCUUUGACGGGUAGCCGGCCUGAGAGGGUGACCGGCCACAUUGGGACUGAGAUACGGCCCAGACUCCUACGGGAGGCAGCAGUGGGGAAUAUUGCACAAUGGGCGGAAGCCUGAUGCAGCAACGCCGCGUGCGGGAUGACGGCCUUCGGGUAGUAAACCGCUUUCGCCUGUGACGAAGCGUGAGUGACGGUAAUGGGUAAAGAAGCACCGGCUAACUACGUG